rfam:Triticum aestivum genome assembly, contig: Triticum_aestivum_CS42_TGACv1_scaffold_557723_7AL
CAUGUAUUCCCUCCGUUCGGAAUUAGUUGUCGCAGAAGUGGAUGUAUCUAGAUGUAUUUUAGUUCUAGAUACAUCCAUUUCCGAGACAAGUAAUUCCGAACGGAGGGAGUAUAAA